rnacentral:rRNA from 1 species
UUNUAGAGUUUGAUCCUGGCUCAGAUUGAACGCUGGCGGCAGGCCUAACACAUGCAAGUCGAGCGGAUGAGAGGAGCUUGCUCCUCGAUUCAGCGGCGGACGGGUGAGUAAUGCCUAGGAAUCUGCCUAGUAGUGGGGGACAACGUUUCGAAAGGAACGCUAAUACCGCAUACGUCCUACGGGAGAAAGUGGGGGAUCUUCGGACCUCACGCUAUUAGAUGAGCCUAGGUCGGAUUAGCUAGUUGGUAGGGUAAAGGCCUACCAAGGCGACGAUCCGUAACUGGUCUGAGAGGAUGAUCAGUCACACUGGAACUGAGACACGGUCCAGACUCCUACGGGAGGCAGCAGUGGGGAAUAUUGGACAAUGGGCGAAAGCCUGAUCCAGCCAUGCCGCGUGUGUGAAGAAGGCCUUCGGGUCGUAAAGCACUUUAAGUUGGGAGGAAGGGCUUACCAGCGAAUACCCUGUGAGUUUGACC